UACGUAGGGGGCAAGCGUUGUCCGGAUUUAUUGGGCGUAAAGAGCGUGUAGGCGGCUUGGUAGGUCCGCUGUGAAAACUCGAGGCUCAACCUCGAGAUGUCGGCGGAAACCACUUGGCUAGAGUCCGGAAGAGGAGAGUGGAAUUCCCGGUGUAGCGUUGAAAUGCGCAGAUAUCGGGAAGAACACCUAUGGCGAAGGCAGCUCUCUGGGACGGUACUGACGCUGAGACGCGAAAGCGUGGGGAGCGAACAGG
rnacentral:rRNA from 1 species